AAUUUGGGCUCCUUACAGGCAAAGAGCUCCAUCGCCACAUGUGGCUAGUGCUUGCCGAACUCCCCGGUGCGGUUGUGGGGUCCCCGAUGGGGUGGAGAAUGAUCUCAGACGAUGUCAAGCCUUUAACUGUAUGGAGAAUGAAAGGUCUCUUGCAAUCCUGACUUGGCUGUGAGUGAUGUCUUGAGGAUCUGUCACGUGUAAGUCCCAGGACGUCCUUGAUGGAAGAACGGGAGAGCAAGAACCUGGAGCUGAAAUGAGGAGCCUGGAUGCAUCUGGGGUGGGGCAGGGUAGAGCUGGCUGCAUCCUGGGCCUCACGCACCGCCUGCCAAAUGAAGUUUUCUAAGUUAGGCUCACAACUACAGAAAGUCGUCUAACAAUAGGAAGAGGGAACAUUUGCAACAUUAAAGGAAGACAGACGAUGUUGGACUCUUGGCCAAGUCUGAUGAUGCCCAUUCCCAGGAGAGGACACCCUAAAAGACAAGAGAGCAAUUAAGGACAUUGACUGCUUUUUUCCUCUUUAAGGCAAGAACUUAACCAAUUUACUGGAAUUUUUAAAAGAAUUUACUAGAAAAAACACAAGCCAAUAACCUCAUAAACCAUUAGGUACUCAGUGUUUCUGGAAGGGCAGCUGUAAGUGCAUGGUCUAUGUCCAAUUUUGCUGUCAUCUUGGAAUGGGAAGAACAUUGGAAUGACAAGUUAGAUUGAAAAGCUGUUAAAAGCCAGAAAAAUAACGAGUGCCUAAUCCAUAAAUGGAAAACUGUCAGUCCCUUAUGUCUUUAUACAACUUGGUUUGAUGGUAAUUCAAGCAAAACUUCUGUGUUUUCAACCAGCCCUUAAUGACAAAGAAAAUAAACCAUCCGGAAAAGAGGAGUCAUAAGAGGAACAAUGUACCUCAGUUUGGUGUCUGCGGAGAAUAAAUUUGGGUAAUAGAAUUUAUUUAGGAGGAGAGGAAAUCUGAACAAAGAGAUAAUGUGAAGCCUCAGAUAUGAAACCUGGCUUGUGAUUUUGGAGGUGAAACUCUCUUGGUUUAUGACCAUGACCUUCAAUGACCUUGCUGUGGCCACUGUUCUGGAAUGUGGAUGGCAGCUAACAAGGCUGAGGGGGACCCUGUUUACCACCCUGCUUCCUCUCUCCAGCCUGCUCUGCUCGGUUGUCGCGGGUUUGUCUCUGAGUCACUGGUCUCCUAGGCUAAGAAGGCUGUUUCAAAGCUGGGGUUUCCAGGGCUUUCCUUUCUCCCUGCUGAGAUCUGGGAAGCCCCAUGAAGUCUAAAUGGCAGCUGGAGGUUGUCAGUUACAUCAGGGGAAAGCCUCAGAGACACACAUAAUGUGUAAAAGCCACUGCAGCAUGGAAGCCCGCGGAUACCCUCUGAUUCCGGGCUCCAGCACCGCGGGAGCCCCACUGUCAGGCCAUAAAAACAACUGCAAACAGCAAGCCUGGGGAUGGGGACGUGCAUCGCCAACUCACAGCGGUCCUAGGAACAUGAGCUUUUGAUGUCUUGGGAAAUGCGUCUUGCUGAGCAGUUUGGAGUGUUAUUCCAAGUAGAUCAGAGAGCUGUUUCCUUCUCCAUUUAUUUCAGUGCAACCUUGACCAUGUAGCUAGGGAUUGUUAGAUCCUCAGAAAUUAGGUGGGCUCCAUCAAGUUCACUGAGACUCUGCUGUGUGCAUCCCCCUGCUGGCCAUUCGGGCUUCUUUUGUGGAGGGGCUCAGAAGACACAGACUUGCUGCAAAUGUAUUCAUAGUUCCCAGAAACUCGAGCUAGAAAAGCAUACAGUGGACAUGUUGAAAAGAUGAUUGGUGAGGGGCUCUGAGCUGGAUUUCUGAUCUUGACUGUGCUACAACCAACCGGAAUGACCAGGAGGAAGUCCUGUCACUUCCUAGGUGUUCACCGACUGAGAGCAAUGACUGUUGCCUUAAUGAUUAGAAUGGUGACUGCCAAUUCACUAAUGGCUGGAACAUGUAAUUAGAACUUGAGAACUCAGCUCUGGUCAUGACUGUACCACUUAGCAUGGCCUUGAACACAUCCUCCACUCUCUUGGGAGGGAGGCACUAUGCCCUGUGAUUAGGAGCUUGGUAGAGCCAUACUGUCUGGGUUCAAAUCCCAGUUCGGCCACUGACUAGCUACAUGUUUUUGGGUCUGCAGAGUUGAGUCCUUGUGACAGAGACCAUAUGGCCUUUUACAGAAAAGUUUGCUGAUCCUGCUUCUAGACUAUGUCUAGCCCUGACAGCCACCGGCUGAAGGAAGAUCUGACGCAGAAGAGGAAGAAGGCAGCAUCAUAAGGACGGAAGCACAGGGAGAUGUGAAGACACUACGAUCCUGGCUGCGGAGAUGGAGGAAGGGACCACAAGCCGAGGAAGGCAAGGAGUGCCUUCAGAAGUUAGAGAAGACAGAGAAACUGAUUCUCUCCUAGAGCCUCCAGAGGGAGCCCGACCCUGCUGAUGCUUUGACUUCAGCCCCAGUGAAACUGAUUUUGGACGUCUGGCCUCUAGAACAGAAAUGUAGGACUGAAGACCUUUGCAAAAAACUUUAAAGAUUCGCUGACACGCUCAAGGCCUCUGGUCAUCUGUCCUCCCAGGGAGAUAAGCAGCAUCCCUGGAGAGAACGCAGUCUGGAGUCAGGAGGAGUCCAGCCCUGCUGUUCGAACACUGAA